UGAGGAAUAUUGGUCAAUGGGCGGGAGCCUGAACCAGCCAAGUCGCGUGAGGGAAGACGGUCCUAUGGAUUGUAAACCUCUUUUGUCGGGGAGCAAAAGAGGCCACGUGUGGUCAAAAGCGAGAGUACCCGAAGAAAAGCAUCGGCUAACUCCGUGCC
rnacentral:rRNA from 1 species